rnacentral:rRNA from 1 species
AUUGAACGCUGGCGGCAUGCUUUACACAUGCAAGUCGAACGGCAGCGCGGGCUUCGGCUUGGCGGCGAGUGGCGAACGGGCGAGUAAGACAUCGGAACGUGCCCAGUAGUUGGGGAUAGCCCGCCGAAAGCCGGAUUAAUACCGCAUACGACCUGAGGGUGAAAGCGGGGGAUCUUCGGACCUCGCGCUAUUGGAGCGGCCGAUGGCAGAUUCGCUAUUUGGUGGGGUAAAGGCCUACCAAGGCGACGAUCUGUAGCUGGUCUGAAAGGACGACCAGCCACACUGGGACUGAGACACGGCCCAGACUCCUACGGGAGGCAGCAGUGGGGAAUUUUGGACAAUGGGCGAAAGCCUGAUCCAGCAAUGCCGCGUGUGUGAUGAAGGCCUUCGGGUUGUAAAGCACUUUUGGCGGGAACGAAAAGGACUGUGCCAAUACCACGGUUCGAUGACGGUACCCGCAGAAUAAGCACCGGCUAACUACGUG